rnacentral:rRNA from 1 species
CGACGAUAAUAAUGCUUUAUUCGCACUGGUAGAAGUAUCAAAGACUCCGGCGGUACAGGAGUGGACCCGCGUCUGAUUAGCUAGUUGGUAAGGUAACGGCUUACCAAGGCGACGAUCAGUAGCCGACCUGAGAGGGUGAUCGGCCACAUUGGAACUGAGACACGGUCCAAACUCCUACGGGAGGCAGCAGUGGGGAAUAUUGCACAAUGGGCGAAAGCCUGAUGCAGCAACGCCGCGUGAGCGAUGAAGGCCUUCGGGUCGUAAAGCUCUGUCCUCAAGGAAGAUAAUGACGGUACUUGAGGAGGAAGCCCCGGCUAACUACGUG